CGCUUAUCCAGAAAGACUGAGGGAAAAGGCCCUGUGAAGUCUUAGCAACCUGUACUAUAGUUAAGUCUAAAGUCAUGAGUCCGGAGUCAAAAAAGAUUAAAGCCGCAACUUUAUUUACGACUUACGAUUACAUACUCAAGACUAUAGACUCAAUACAAGGUGCUAACUCCUGCUCCGUUUACGGAGAAAGAUAGGUU
rnacentral:ncRNA from 2 species